rnacentral:rRNA from 1 species
UACGUAGGGUGCGAGCGUUAAUCGGAAUUACUGGGCGUAAAGCGUGCGCAGGCGGUCUGUUAAGACCGAUGUGAAAUCCCCCGGGCUUAACCUGGGAACUGCAUUGGUGACUGGCAGGCUUUGAGUGUGGCAGAGGGGGGGUAGAAUUCCACGUGUAGCAGUGAAAUGCGUAGAGAUGUGGAGGAAUACCGAUGGCGAAGGCAGCCCCCUGGGCUAACACUGACGCUCAGGCACGAAAGCGUGGGGAGCAAACAGGG